rnacentral:rRNA from 1 species
CCUACGGGAGGCAGCAGUGGGGAAUAUUGCACAAUGGGGGAAACCCUGAUGCAGCGACGCCGCGUGAGUGAAGAAGUAUUUCGGUACGUAAAGCUCUAUCAGCAGGGAAGAAAAUGACGGUACCUGACUAAGAAGCCCCGGCUAACUACGUGCCAGCAGCCGCGGUAAUACGUAGGGGGCAAGCGUUAUCCGGAUUUACUUGGUGUAAAGGGAGCGUAGACGGCAGCGCAAGUCUGGAGUGAAAUCCCAUGGCUUAACCAUGGAACUGCUUUGGAAACUGUGCAGCUAGAGUGCAGGAGAGGUAAGCGGAAUUCCUAGUGUAGCGGUGAAAUGCGUAGAUAUUAGGAGGAACACCAGUGGCGAAGGCGGCUUACUGGACUGUAACUGACGUUGAGGCUCGAAAGCGUGGGGAGCAAACAGGAUUAGAUACCCGAGUAGUC